ensembl:snRNA U1 U1 spliceosomal RNA
AGACUCCUGGCCAAUUAGCGGCCGGCAAGUGUAGACAAGUGUAGACAAGUGUAGACUCCUAUGCACUCGCCUGGCUCUCACGUCUGCGAACUCCCCAAAUGUGGGAAUCUCGAUUGCAUAAUUUCUGGUAGUGGGGACUGCGUUCGCGCUCUCCCCU